AGAGGUUACGUGAUGUUUCCCCCUCAUGUCCAAACAGAAAAGACCAGAUAAGGUUCAUCCAAGACCAACUAGUCUGACCAAAAACAGGCAAAGAUUCACCACUGUGGUGCAAAAACCUGUGUUGGAUUUAACUUACUCUGAAUGAAGCAGUAUAUAAAGAAACUGGAUACAGCUGUGAGAGCGAUGGAGAGAACUUCAACCUGCUGCACUCUUGCUUCAAUGGUCGCUUUAGUCAUCCUCAUCUUAUUUCCAGCGAGGGCCUGUUGUGAGGAAGAUGUCUACAAAUCACAAACAGAGGCCAAGCCAGAGUGCCGCGUUAGUGGAGAUGAGAAGAGGUUUGAUGACACGGACUGGGACAGCUUUGUGAGUCUAAUGGGAAGGAGAAGUGCCGCUCAACCAAACAGUCACAGAAGCACUCCGCUGUCGAGAAAAGGUAAGAAAGCAUCUCAGUAUUUUCUGUAGUGACCUCGUCUGUAUCGCUCUAUGGGACUGUAAAUCACUUCCUGUUCAUCUUAUGCAGAGCACGCGGAUCACAUCCUCGCGGCUCUGCUGGGACGGCGAACAAGACACAACGCUUCCGAUAGAGGAGAUGUCACGACUUUACAAACUCAAGACUGGCUGUAAACUGUCUUCACAGCUACUGUAUCAACCGAGGACGACGUUAUCGACCAGAGACAGAUGAAAAACAUUAUAUUAACCAUGCAUGGAUGCUUUUCUACUGUCAGUGGAAAAUGUUCUGACAUAUAUCAGUGCAAUAUUGCAAAAAACAAAUGUAUUACAAAACAAAUGUACAAUAAAAUCUGCAUUUAUUUAGUGAUUAAAGUACAAUUUACUGAAAACGAUCCCGCACAGGUGUGCUCACACACACACACACUCAUUUACACGCUUAAACGUGUAUCGACUGAAUUUCGACAUCGAUAACAGCAUAAAUACAUUUCAAAUAUAAAUACAGCACUGUACACCUUUCCCUUUGAGAAAACUUGAACACUGGGAGAAGAUUGUCGAUCACGGGCAUCAGAAACCAGACGUGGUGGUUAACAACAAGGUGUGUAAAUCUGCACGGCAGUCCUUUUGCUACUGAAAUGUUUGAAAACUGGGAAAUCAAACAAGCUCAUUAAUAACACCCGCUCGCCAAAAAAAGCAUAAUUGAAAAACAUGCUGAUUUGGUUUGAACUGACCUUUUCCAUUUUUAAAACAGCAAAAAUCAAAACAGGAUGCUCUGUGCUCGCGUACAGAAAACGGAGUGUAAACACUUACGAAAGGCGUUUUGACAAGCAUCAUUAUCUCAUACAAUUUGAAGGAGAGAAGCACGUUGUAGGUGGUAGAAAGGAAAAAAGAAAAACAGCACUUAUAACACUCAAAGGUGCAUGCAAGUGUCAAUCGUUUGAACCGUUACGGAUUCCCGAAGCCAUUUUCUGUAUUUGGUAAUUACUCUCUCCCAUUAAAAUUUAUUCUGUUUGGUUACAAUUUAAUAACAGAACUGCAGUGAAUACAUUUAAAUAUAUUCAACGUACUAACUUAAAAA